CCUACGGGAGGCAGCAGUGGGGAAUAUUGCACAAUGGGCGAAAGCCUGAUGCAGCAACGCCGCGUGAGUGAUGAAGGCCUUCGGGUUGUAAAGCUCUGUCUUUAGGGACGAUAAUGACGGUACCUAAGGAGGAAGCCACGGCUAACUACGUGCCAGCAGCCGCGGUAAU
rnacentral:rRNA from 1 species